rnacentral:rRNA from 1 species
AUUGAACGCUGGCGGCAGGCCUAACACAUGCAAGUCGAACGAGUGGCGGACGGGUGCGUAAUGUCUGGGAAACUGCCUGAUGGAGGGGGAUAACUACUGGAAACGGUAGCUAAUACCGCAUACCAUCAGAUGUGCCCAGAUGGGAUUAGCUAGUAGGUGGGGUAAUGGCUCACCUGGGCGACGCUCCCUAGCGGGUCUGAGAGGUUGCCCUGCCACACUGGAACUGAGACACGGUCCAGACUCCUACGGGAGGCAGCAGUGGGGAAUAUUGCACAAUGGGCGAAAGCCUGAUGCAGCCAGGCCGCGUGUGUGAAGAAGGCCUUCGGGUUGUAAAGCACGUUCAGCGAGGAGGCGUUACUCGCAGAAGAAGCACCGGCUAACUCCGUGCCAGCCGCCGCGGUAAUUC